UGCGUAGGUGGCGGGGUAAGUUUGAUGUGAAAUCUCCGGGCUUAACCCGGAAACUGCAUUGGAUACUAUUCUGCUCGAGGGUUGGAGGGGGGGACGUGGAAUACUUGGUGUAGCAGUGAAAUGCGUAGAUAUCAAGUGGAACACCAGUGGCGAAGGCGAGUCCCUGGACAACUCCUGACACUAAGGCACGAAAGCUAGGGGAGCAAACGG
rnacentral:rRNA from 1 species